AGGCAGUGCAGAGCAAAGAUGUGGACAGCAGCUGUGGAUAGGUGAAGACUCAAAAGGCUGAUGAUAGCUAAGAACUCUUGUGUUUUUGAACAUAGAAGUCAAAUAAGGAUUUUGUGCGGAGAUUAUGCUUCUCCCUGAAGACUCAGUAACAGAAAUGCUUGAUUCAUGGCUAUAAAGAAGAUUGAAAUAAAACAGCCUGGAAUGCGAGGCUUUGGUUAGGGACAAGGCCAAUCUGAACUGCCAUUUUUCAAAGGAUUUCAAAAGGAUUGAGUAAAGACCCAUCACAUCACCAGUAAAAGAAAAACGAGAACCUAUUCCCCACUGAAGAGCAGGAUUCCCAGAUGGGCCCAGCCUGGAAACCAGAAGUUAAAGUUAUCUAAAAGUGAUAAACUCAGGAACUACAUGAGAUACUGAUGUGGAUCUAAUUUCAAAGGUCAACAGAGGUUCAAAGGGUGAAUAAAGGAUGGCCCUUUAAGGGUUGCUGGGUGAUGGCCCAGCAUUUUGCCCAGAGGAGAAAAUUUUGCUGCGGAGACAAAUACAAGUUUUUACUAAAGUUAGUGGCCAAGAGAGCAGGUAAUUUUAAAUUAAUGGUAAACUAUAAUGUCAGUUCCUAAGAUAAACAAAGUAAGCAGCUGUGACAGACUGAAGUUUAUCAGAGUAUGAUAGGAAGGUCAGGCGUGACAAAUGGGGAGACUGGGAUGCUGAGCUGGCUCAUGGCUGUUAUGUAACCAACAUUGCUGCUAAAUUUAAA